rnacentral:rRNA from 1 species
UAGGGAAUAUUUCACAAUGGGCGAAAGCCUGAUGCAGCAACGCCGCGUGCACGAUGAAGGCCUUCGGGUCGUAAAGUGCUUUUCGGGGAGAUGAGUAAGGACAGUAUCCCCGGAAUAAGGAUCGGCUAACUACGUGCCAGCAGCCGCGGUAAAACGUAGGAGCCGAGCGUUAUCCGAAUUUACUGGGCGUAAAGCGGGUGUAGGCGGUUCGGUAAGUUGGAUGUGAAAUCUCCUGGCUCAACUGGGAGAGGUCGUUCAAUACUGUCUGACUAGACGGCCGUAGAGUGAGGUGGAAUUCCCGGUGUAGUGCUCAAAUGCGUAGAUGUCGGGAGGAACGCCACUGGCGAAAGCGGCCUCCUAGACCGCUCCUGACGCUCAGACGCGAAAGCUAGGGGAGCGAACGCG